CUACGGGAGGCAGCAGUAGGGAAUAUUGGACAAUGGGCGAAAGCCUGAUCCAGCAAUGCCGCGUGAGUGAUGAAGGCCUUAGGGUUGUAAAGCUCUUUUACCCGAGAUGAUAAUGACAGUAUCGGGAGAAUAAGCUCCGGCUAACUCCGUGCCAGCAGCCGCGGUAAUACGGAGGGAGCUAGCGUUGUUCGGAAUUACUGGGCGUAAAGCGCACGUAGGCGGCGAUUUAAGUCAGAGGUGAAAGCCCGGGGCUCAACCCCGGAACUGCCUUUGAGACUGGAUUGCUAGAAUCUUGGAGAGGCGAGUGGAAUUCCGAGUGUAGAGGUGAAAUUCGUAGAUAUUCGGAAGAACACCAGUGGCGAAGGCGGCUCGCUGGACAAGUAUUGACGCUGAGGUGCGAAAGCGUGGGUAGCGAACGGGAUUAGAUACCCGUGUAGUCC
rnacentral:rRNA from 1 species